rnacentral:rRNA from 1 species
UACGUAGGUGGCAAGCGUUGUCCGGAUUUACUGGGCGUAAAGAGCGCGCAGGCGGUUGUGCAAGUCGCGUGUGAAAGCCCCCGGCUCAACUGGGGAGGGUCACGCGAUACUGUUCGACUUGAAGGCAGGAGAGGGAAGUGGAAUUCCUGGUGUAGCGGUGAAAUGCGCAGAUAUCAGGAAGAACACCCGUGGCGAAGGCGGCUCUCUGGGACGGUACUGACGCUGAGACGCGAAAGCGUGGGGAGCGAACAGG